AUGAAACAUAACAGCUGUAGAAAUAAAGGCUAUAACUUUGUAAUUUUUAUUUUGUGGAAGGUACUGCAUGUUGUGCCCCAGCGAUCCAUGAAUCAGACCUCCUGACUGGAUGUAGUGAUAUUCAGACAACUCUACGGACUAUGAGAUACAUGCAGUUGGCCAACUUGACAGGCAUUCCAGCCCUUGUGGUACCAGUUGGAUAUACAAUUUCAGGGCUUCCCAUCAGCCUUCAAAUGAUGACAAAGUGGUGGAAUGAAGCCUUGCUGUUCCAAAUAGGCCUGAAACUGGAGCAAUUUCGUGGUACACCAGCAAAACCAAUAAUUUACUAUGAUAUUCUGAGAUAAUAUGGCUAGCUUCAAAUUUCCUUUACACUUCCAGUUCCAAUACAGUUGUCUGUUUAAAGUAUGUAUGCCUUAAGGGAAGAGAGUUAGUCAGGACAGGUUCACCAGCUCCCAUUAAAAAAUGCAGAGAAAAUUAAAUUGGAAUGAAACGGUAACUUACUAAAGGAUGUACAAUGCUGUAUGCCUGCAGUGUUUACAGUUUAUACCGACACCAACUGUUUAUAAACAUCCAGAUGCUGCAGAUUUUUGCGAUUGAGCAAAUUCUCUUCAGAUACAAUUUGUUUGAAUGCAUUUUAAAUACUGUAUGUGACAUUUGCAUUCAGCUUGUAUAUAUAAUGGCACAGAAUAUUGAUAUGUUUCUGACAUGGAAAAUACUUUCUUAGAAAGGGUGAUGGGUAUUUAUAGAUUUUUAAAAAAAAAAACCCAAUUCUUACAAAAAACUAACAAUAUAUACCCUCUAGUGAUAUUGUACAAUUGCAUUUCUUUAUAGUUCAGCAGAACGUUAAUUUCUUGUGUCAAAAUGAAAGCAAAUUAUUUUACUACAGGCUGGUGCAUCCAUGCUCCUUUUCAAAGUGAUAGAAAUCAAUUGAUUCAGAAAAUAUGAUGGAAAAUAGAGAUGUCUCUUAAUUGGCAUCAACAUCAUUAAUACAAUAUUUAAUGCAAUGGAUUUGUUCACUUAUCCGAGUCUGAGAUAAAAUUAAUACAUUAUUCAGAAAA